GUCAAAUGUGUCGUCAUCACCUGCAUUGGGGACCCGAGCAUGACGGUCCAGGACAGGGCCAGGGUGGUGGAGCUCUGAAUCCACAUGGCCAGGGAAGAACUGGACAAAACUAAAAAAGUUGAUGAAAACAAGCCAGCGGGAGAGCAGGAAGCUGCUCAAGGAGGUGAGUGGAGGCUGGAGAUCUGGAAGGAGGGGAGGGUGUCGUCCCCUUCCUGGGCACGUUCCUCUAUCACCUGAAGCUGCUGGACAUUGGGAUGGAGGAUGAUCUGGAAGUGAGUGAGC